GGAGGAGGAGGAGGAGGGGGGGAGCAAAAACAGUGAAAAAAGAAAUGGAGAAAUCUCUGAAAUUCAGGCGAAGGACUGGGAUGGAUGGAGGGAUGGAGUCACAGGCUACAAAGGUUCCACAGAAACCUCGUCCGCAGCUGCAGACCCAGAGGCACCUUUUGAGAAAUGUUUAUUGUUUUUUGAAAUGUCAGAAUAAUUUGUAAAUAGACUUCAAGCUAGAAUAAGUAUUAUUUAAUUAAAUACUAUAUUACUAUAAUAAUUAAAAAACAUAUUAAAGGGGUUAAUUUGACCUAAUGCAUUCACUGAAAUGCAUACAAAUACUGGGGCACGUAUUUCCUUUUGUAAAGGAGUAUUUGACACAUCUAGUGAAAUGCAUAUAAUGAAAAUACUAUUGCAUGAAUUUAGAAAAAAAUAUAUUUUAAAGGUUUGGUGAGGAUCAUAUUGUUUAAUUCCUGUUGUUUUGUUAUUUUAAAAUUGAAAACAAAUAA